UACAUGGGGUGCAAACGUUGCUCGGAAUUAUUGGGCGUAAAGCGCGCGUAGGCGGUUACUCAAGUCGGAUGUGAAAGCCCUCGGCUUAACUGAGGAAGUGCACCCGAAACUGAGUAGCUAGAGUACUAAAGAGGGUCGCGGAAUUCCCGGUGUAGAGGUGAAAUUCGUAGAUAUCGGGAGGAACACCGGUGGCGAAGGCGGCAUCCUGGACCGGCAUUGACGCUGAGGAGCGAAAGCUAGGGGAGCAAACGGG
rnacentral:rRNA from 1 species